rnacentral:tRNA from 1 species
GGGGGGAAUUAAACCCCAUUAGUAAGUUUACAGCUUACUGCCUAUUACUCGGCCACCUAACC